GAUAUAGGUAAUGAUCAAGUAAAGACAACAUAUGCUGAUUUGCAGGAUGAAGUUUUUGUCCUUGACAAGGCUGAUUCUACAAGUGAAGAUCUCGGGAAACAAAUCUAUAAUAGGGGCUCUUGCAGUUCACUUGGUGAUCCUGAUGGUGACCCGAGGGUUGAUUCUCUACUUGUUGGCUCUAAAAUUUGCAGUCCACAUGAUAAAGCUU
rnacentral:misc_RNA from 1 species